rnacentral:rRNA from 1 species
GACCUCAAAUCAGGUAGGAGUACCCGCUGAACUUAAGCAUAUCAAUAAGCGGAGGAAAAGAAACCAACCGGGAUUGCCUUAGUAACGGCGAGUGAAGCGGCAAAAGCUCAAAUUUGAAAUCUGGUACCUUCGGUGCCCGAGUUGUAAUUUGGAGAGGGCAACUUUGGGGCCGUUCCUUGUCUAUGUUCCUUGGAACAGGACGUCAUAGAGGGUGAGAAUCCCGUGUGGCGAGGAGUGCGGUUCUUUGUAAAGUGCCUUCGAAGAGUCGAGUUGUUUGGGAAUGCAGCUCUAAGUGGGUGGUAAAUUCCAUCUAAAGCUAAAUAUUGGCGAGAGACCGAUAGCGAACAAGUACAGUGAUGGAAAGAUGAAAAGAACUUUGAAAAGAGAGUGAAAAAGUACGUGAAAUUGUUGAAAGGGAAGGGCAUUUGAUCAGACAUGGUGUUUUGUGCCCUCUGCUCCUUGUGGGUAGGGGAAUCUCGCAUUUCACUGGGCCAGCAUCAGUUUUGGUGGCAGGAUAAAUCCAUAGGAAUGUAGCUUGCCUCGGUAAGUAUUAUAGCCUGUGGGAAUACUGCCAGCUGGGACUGAGGACUGCGACGUAAGUCAAG